GCGGUAGAAGCGUUCGGUCAGGCGCGGCAGGUGUUUGCUGUCGAUGCCGAUCCCGGAAUCCUGCACGCUCAGGUGCGCGCCCUGUUCAUCGCCCCA
rnacentral:tRNA from 1 species